AGGAACAUGUGGUUUUAAUUCGAUGAUACGCGAGGAACCUUACCUGGGACUUAAAGUGGGGAGUGACAGCUGUCGAAAGAUGGUUUUCUUCGGACACUCUUCAAGGUGCUGCAUGGUUGUCGUCAGCUCGUGCCGUGAGGUGUCGGGUUAAGUCCCAUAACGAGCGCAACCCUUACCGUUAGUUACCAUCAGGUUAAGCUGGGGACUCUAGCGGGACUGCCGCCGUAAGGUGAGAGGAAGGUGGGGAUGACGUCAAAUCAGCACGGCCCUUAUGUCCAGGGCUACACACGUGUUACAAUGGCCGGUACAAAGGGCAGCUACUUCGCGAGAAGAUGCUAAUCUCGAAAGCCGGUCUCAGUUCGGAUCGAAGUCUGCAACCCGACUUCGUGAAGCUGGAUUCGCUAGUAAUCGCGCAUCAGCCAUGGCGCGGUGAAUACGUUCCCGGGCCUU
rnacentral:rRNA from 1 species